rnacentral:rRNA from 1 species
GACGAACGCUGGCGGCGUGCUUAACACAUGCAAGUCGAACGGGCCCGCCCCUGUUUUUGGGGGUGGGUUGAGUGGCGAACGGGUGAGUAUCACGUGAGUAACCUGCCCCCUGCUCCUGGAUAACUGCUUGAAAGGGCGGCUAAUACGGGGUGUGCCGGCUGGUCCGCAUGGGCCUGGUCGGGAUAGUUUCAUCUUCGGGUGUUUCGGUGGGGGAUGGGCUCGCGGCCUAUCAGCUUGUUGGUGGGGUGAUGGCCCACCAAGGCGGUGACGGGUAGCCGGCCUGAGAGGGUGGGCGGCCACACUGGGACUGAGACACGGCCCAGACGCCUGCGGGAGGCAGCAGUGGGGGGUAUUGCACAAUGGGCGGAAGCCUGAUGCAGCGACGUCGCGUGAGGGAUGGAGGCCUUCGGGUUGUGAACCUCUUUCUCCGGUGGUGAAGGCCCUGUCCGUUGCGGCGGGGUUGACGGUAGCCGGGUAUGAAGCGCCGGCUAACUACGUG